rnacentral:rRNA from 1 species
GGCCUAUCAGCUAGCUCAAGCCCCUAAAUACAAUGACACCCUAUCAAUAAACCCUAACACCCCAAACAAACACUGACCAAACCAUUUUUCCACCCAAGUAUGGGCGACAGAAAAGGACCCCCUGAAGCAAUAGCAGAAGUACCGCAAGGGAACGCUGAAAGAGAAAUGAAAUAAAUAGAUAAGCACAAAGAAGCAGAGAUUAGUUCUCGUACCUUUUGCAUCAUGAUUUAGCAAGACACCGCCAAGCACAGAGCACUUUAGUUUGGCCCCCCGAAACCAGGUGAGCUACUCCAAGACAGCCAAUCUGGGCAAACCCGUCUCUGUGGCAAAAGAGUGGGAAGAGCUUUGAGUAGAGGUGACAGACCUACCGAACCUGGCUAUAGCUGGUUGUUCAAGAAAUGAAUAGAAGUUCAGCCUUUUGCUCUUCUUAACCCAAAGUCAGUUACACUUUUACGUGAACAAGAAGACAAAAGAGUUAGUCAAAGGGGGUACAGCCCCUUUGAAAGAGACACAACUUUCCCAGAAGGGUUAAGAUCAUACUACCAUUAAGGGCCCGUGCUCUGGUAGGCCUAAGAGCAGCCAUCCAUGAAGAAAGCGUUAAAGCUCGCGCACCCCCUCUCCCCCAUUAUUAGGACAAACUUAUCUUACCCCCCUGUGUAAUGUAUUGAACCUUCCCAUCCGACCUAUGGAAGAGAUCAUGCUAAUAUGAGUAAUAAGAGACCAAGACUCUCUCCCCGCACAAGCGUAUACCGGAACGAACCAACACCGGUAAUUAACGGCCCCAAUACCAGAGGGCACUGAAGUCAAAUAACAGAAAUACUAGAAAUGCUUUCACACACCCCCCCCCGUUAACCUUACACCAGCGUGCUUACAAGGAAAGACUAAAAGAAAAAGAAGGAACUCGGCAAACCCAAGCCUCGCCUGUUUACCAAAAACAUCGCCUCUUGCACACCGCAGAAUAAGAGGUCCUGCCUGCCCUGUGACUGUGGGUUUAACGGCCGCGGUAUUUUGACCGUGCAAAGGUAGCGCAAUCACUUGUCCUUUAAAUGAGGACCUGUAUGAAUGGCAAAACGAGGGCUUUACUGUCUCCUUUUUUAAGUCAAUGAAAUUGAUCCUCCCGUGCAGAAGCGGGAAUAGACACAUAAGACGAGAAGACCCUAUGGAGCUUCAGACACUAAGGCAGGUCGAGAAACACAAACCGAGAUAAAGGAACUGAACCUCAAAAACACUGCCCGACUGUCUUUGGUUGGGGCGACCACGGGGUAAAACAGAACCCCCGUGCGGAACAAGGGCACACCCCUCCUCCCACCCUUCAAACCUAGAGUGACAACUCUAACGAGCAGAAAAUCUGACCACAAGUGAUCCGGCAUAAGCCGAUCAACGGACCGAGUUACCCUAGGGAUAACAGCGCAAUCCCCUCCUAGAGUCCAUAUCGACGAGGGGGUUUACGACCUCGAUGUUGGAUCAGGACAUCCUAUUGGUGCAGCCGCUAUUAAGGGUUCGUUUGUUCAACGAUUAAAGUCCUACGUGAUCUGAGUUCAGACCGGAGCAAUCCAGGUCAGUUUCUAUCUAUGAAAUGAUUUUUUCUAGUACGAAAGGACCGAAAAGAUGGGGCCUAUGCUUCAAGCACGCCUCCUCCUCACCCAAUGACCUCAACUAAAAAGGGUAAGAGGACAUGCCACGCAGUCUAAGAGAAAGACUU